rnacentral:rRNA from 1 species
UACGGAAGGGGCAAGCGUUGUUCGGAAUCAUUGGGCGUAAAGGGCGCGUAGGUGGUUCUGUAUGUCUACCGUGAAAGCAUACAGCUCAACUGUAUUUUGUCGGUAGAAACUGCAGGACUUGAGGCUGGGAGGGGCUGGUGGAAUUCCCUGUGUAGCGGUGAAAUGCGUAGAGAUGGGGGGAGAACACUCGUGGCGAAGGCGGCCAGCUGGACCAGUUCUGACACUGAGGCGCGACAGCGUGGGGAGCAAACAGG